rnacentral:piRNA from 1 species
UGAGCAACGUUGGUAAGGAACAUGGUCAGU